ACCUCCAUCCUCUGAUCUUCAGACAGACUUUAUUUGUACAAGCAAGAUAUCACCACAGUGGCUGGUCCUCUGUCUGGUAAACAUUGCCUCAGAAAAGAGAUCAGGAUCCUAAGUUUCCUGACUCCUUCAGAUACAGAGGACUCAGAUGUGAAGGCAGCUGCCCGGUUUGGCAAAGACCAGCUCCAGCAAGAGAGACCCAGUGGAAAGCAACGUUUUAUAAUAAGAAUGAAGUUGUAGAGAUGAAGGACCAGAUCAUCCGCUGGGUGCAGGGGGACCCUGGCCACAGAGCCCGUGGCAGUGACCAUGAUGCUGCUCAGCCUGGUAGAGCAGCUUGGGGAGAAAGACAGGCGCUGACUGGCAAGUACACAGAACUAAGGGACUUGUGUGCCCACAGGAUUCUGCAGCAUGUCCAGAACUUCAAUCAAUGAUUGGCAAUACCAACUGAAUAGAUGUUGAACUGUAUCAGAUGCUUUCCACACAUUAGUUGAGGUAAGGUAUUUAUGUUCUUCACCAAUAAUAUUUUAUGCCUUGAGAGAUGGCAUUGUGCAGUUCGAUGUGAUUUCCAUGUGUGUCCAUUGGCACAUAAUACCAAUUGUGAUUCAGAUCAUAUCUUUACUGACAUUUUGUUUGUUAAUUGUGCCAAUUCAUUUUUUUUACAAAUGACUGAUGAAGAUGUUUUAAAAUCUCUGAUUAAUAUGAAUGAAAAAGCCUUACUAAAAAUGUUGACCCCAUGCCUGACAAACUCUCUGGAUCCAUCAAACAAUUUACAGGAAAUAGGGAGUUCAGAGAAAACUGUUGAAUUAUUUAAUUGGGCUGUGACCAUCAGCUUCCUAACAUUCACAGUAGAAAUCACAUUUUUGACAAAUAAAUUACAAGGGAGGAAAAUAGAUGUAGUGGGAAGCCCAUAAAUUAGGGUACUUGUAAACAUGAAUGACUUCUGAUCCUAACAAACUGUAAAGAAAAAUGUAAACAACAGAUAAUUUAAAUACAGACUGGCAAUUUGACAAUGUUAAAUAAUUAUUGUUAAGCCAGUAAAAUAACUCAGUAGGUUUAGGCACUUGCUACCAAACCUGACUACCUGAGAUCAAUACCCAGAACCAACAGAGCGAAAGAAAACCAAUUCAAGAAAAUUACUCUCUGAGUUUGCAUUUGCUGUUACACACACAUGAGAGA